AGCCUGGAUUUGAACACAUUGCUUCUUUAUGUCUUUAAGGUAUUGAAGGAUUUUUUUUAUUUUUUAUUUAUUUGUUUUUCUGAGAUGGAGUCUCACUCUGUCACCCAUCACCUAGGCUGGAGUGGCACAAACUCGGCUCACUGCAACCUCUACCUCUCAGGUUCAAGCGAUUCUCAUGCCUCAGCCUCCUGAGUAGGGAUUACAGACAUGCAUCACCAUGCCUGGCUAAUUUUUAUAUUUUUGGUAGAGACGGGGUUUCACCAUGUUGGUCAGGCUAGUCUCGAACUCCUGACCCCGUGAACCACCCGCCUUGGCCUCCCAAAGUCCUGGGAUUACAGGCGUGAGCCACCGCGCCCAGCCAGUAUUGAAGGAUUUUAGGAAAGGCUUUGACCAAAUGUUUAUGUGCACAUCAUAAGACAUAAGCAUGAUCUACUUAAAGCUAUUUCAAUUUCCUCAUUCAUUUUUCUAGACUAGUUAUAGAGACUGGCACCUGUAUAUUCACUUAUUUGUAUGACCAAAUUAUCGUCAAUAUGCUUCUCUGUAUAAUUUUUUCUUUCAUUCCAAUUGUCUCAUCUCUUUAUUUGGUAUUGGGAAACAAAUGAAUUGAACAUAUUCUAGUUUUCCUUUUAUUUACUUUUAAAGUAAAUAAAAUUUUAAUUUUCCUUUUAUUUACUUUUAAAGUAAUAGCAUUUUGACAUUUCCAUUUCCUAGUGUGCCCUCCUGGAUUUUAUGGCUUGAAUUAUGCUCACAUCUAUGACUGCAAAAAAUGGAGCUAGUUGUGAUGCAGCAAGGGAACAGUGCAUUUGCCCAGCAGGUGUCCACAGCAGCCGAUGUGAAAAAGUGUUCACCUGGCAUGUUUGGAGAUGAUUGCCAUCAACUUUGUGACUGUGAAGGAGAAAACUUCUGCCACCCAAAAACUGAAAAAUGCCUCUGCCCCCCUGGGAGAACUGAGUCCGAUGUGAUGCUGGUAAGACCCAAAGCACCUAAGGACUCCCCCCUGACCCAUGGUUAUAAGAUAUCUGUAGACAUUUUCCUACUAGAAGUGGAAAGAGCAUUGCCCAGAAUUGCUUGAGACUUUGCCCUUAGUAUGAUGAGCAGGAUUUGUAACUGUUACAUCACAGGCAGCUCAAACAACACUAUAGCUGUCGGAGGACACAUGGUAACAUGGUAAGUAUUUAAAGGGACACAGUUAAAUGCCCCAUCACAAAGGCGAUUCAUAGAAAUCACUAGAAUUAGGGCAAUUAAGGUGUGGUCCCUCCAGAUGGUAUUCUUUGGACCUAAGCUUCAGGCUACUCUUUGGGAAUUGAAAUGUAUAUUUCAUUUUUCUUUUGACUCAGAGAGAGAAUGACCUAAAAUAUAAAGUUCUAAUUCUUCAGGGACUGUCUUAAGAAGAAGAGAAAGUAGAUUGAGUAAUUUUGAACUAAUCACUUGCUACUAGAUUUAAUGGAUGAUUAUCAGAUGAAAAGUUUUAUAUAAUUCACAAUAGACCUGAAGGACUGACCCUGCCACAGAUAUUUCCCAAAAUAGAGGGUUUAAUCUCAGAAUUUACUUUUCUCAUCUGCAAAAGAGAAGGGUUGAAGCUUCAUUUCUAAAAGAAGGGUUAUUUCUAAAUAAAGUCAUGGCCUACACAGAUGUCCUACAGGGUCUUUUAUUUUCAUUUUUAUUUUCAAUUAAGCACAGUUCAUCUGUGAUAUUAAGUGUGAACAGCUGUGUCUAUGCAGGCACCAUAAAGAUAAAAGACCUCAUUUUAACCUGAACUCUGGUAAAGGAGCUAUUAAACACCCAUAAUAUUAAUUCAUAAAAGAAUAUAACAACUUUUUAUUGGAUUAUUUUUCCCCCAUUGGUAAAUUAACAUUUGCAGACAUUCAGACAGAUGUCUUAAAUAUACAUCAUUAUUAACAUGAAAAUGUGGUAUUUUUAUAAAUUAAAAUCAGAUUCUGGAGUGCUCAGGAGAGAGCCUGACUCACAACUUUUUCUAGUAAGAACACUCAAUCUUGCCACCAAACUAAGUAAUCCUCCCACACACUGGGCAGAAGUAUCUGGGUUGAACUUCAUUUAAAAUGAUACAGGAUUUUUUUAAUUUUUCACAAAGUUUCAUGGUUUAAAGAUUUAGAGCAGCAUUUCCAUUGCCUCCAAAGCUUCUUCCUAAAGGAACCUGUUUCUGCUUCAUUUAGGAAGGGAUUGAAUUACUGUUUGCUGAUGUUGAACCCUUGUGAAAAUAAUUAAUUGCAAAAUUGGUUUAUGUUUCUAUUUACCUUAUAUUUCUAAUCCAAUUAGUUAAUUAAGGCAAGAGAGCUAGGCCACAUCUUAACCUACGUUCAUAAUGCAAAAGAAUAAAAAAAUUACAUCCAGCUGCUCAUCUCUAACCCAGCACAAAGGAUAGUGAGUCAAUAAAGAAGUUUUAAACAAAAUUUGCCCAAAAUUUCAGAAUUUGCCCCAGGGACUAUAUCUUCAUAUUUACUGACAUUUCCCAAAUUCUCACUUUCCUGCUUUUUACUUUUUUAUUAGGGCUUUCUUCUGCAUAUGCUUCACACCUUGUAUCCACUCAUAUAGUAGUGUAAAAUGGGGAAAGAGCACUAGGUAGGAAUUCUAAAACCCAGCUCUGCUGUUUAUCAGAGAUAUAUUGUAGUAAUUGAGAUAUUUUAAGCCAUACCAAACCUCAGUUUAUUUCUCUGUAGAAUGUGAGAGCUUAACUCACUGCCUUGCCCACCUCACAGGUAUUAGAACCAACAGAGAUAAUGUAUUAGAGACACACUUUGUAAACUCCACAAGGAUAGGUGACUAUUAGGAUUGAACAGUUGAGUUUCUCUGAUCCUUGAACAUUGAUAAACUGAGUUUCUUCCCAGUCCUGCCUGACUGAGUGGGAAAUAUGAAUCUAUUUUCUGUUUCCAUGAGCUGGGCAGGGCUUUCUCCUUAUCCUCGUAAUUCUUCAGAAACAGAACUUGUUAAUUCUCUGAUGGAAAUUAGGCUAAGAGCAAACACCCAGGCUCGGCCUUUUUGGUCAACAUUUGGUUGUUUUAAUAAAGCUAACACUUUCUAUAAUCUUCCAUCAUUUCUCUUUCAGUUGCAAGCACAAUGCAAUUCAAUUUAAAGAUAGUUAGAGUCCUGUAGGACAUAGAUCAGGGGAUCUAUGGACCUUCUGACAUAUUUUAAGAAAUGAAACAGUUGAAAUUAAAGCCAUUUUAUUUUCAAUAACAUAAGUACAAAUAAUUGUGUUUUCAUCCUAAAGGUAAGUCUCCUGUAUUGGGCAUUCAGCGUGAGUGUUGCCUUUCUCUGACCUCAAGACAACUAGCCAACUUUCCCUGUGUCCUUCACAAUGCAACCACUAAAGCUCUACUGAAUACUCUGAUUCUGAGAAGGCACCUUAAAAAUGUAAGUAGCUGUCCUGACUUCUCUUUUCAGUGUUACCACUAAUUUCCUUGACACUCCCAGCCUUCUCCUGUUUUCCAUCGGCGUUCUUACUUUUAUCACAUAGCAUUCUAGCAUGGGAAGAUACUCCAUGGUAAAAAAGAAUACUUUACAAACGUAUAAUUAUCUUAUUGAAUGCCAAGAAGUAAUAGUAAGAACACAGUGUGUUUUUGAAAGCAUAUCUGAAUUGCUUUUAUUUUUAUUUUCUCCCUCAUAGAAUGCAGGCCGGGCCUGUAUGGACCAAACUGUGCUCUCAAGUGUCAGUGUGGUCACGUAGCUCACUGCAGCCCUCUCAGUGGGAGCUGCACUUGCGUUUUUAAGACAAUGGAUCCAACCUAUGAGGAAAGUGGUUCAGAUGAUCCUCAAUAUCCAAAUACUAACAACUUUUCAGUUGGUGAAUAGAAUUUUGCAGACUUUCAUCCAUGGUUUAUUAUUUUAACUUUAACAGAGAAAUGUACUUACUCAGCCAUCUUCAGCCCAUCCCGACCUGUUGUGGGGUAAAUACCAGGAUGUCUCAACUUUGUCAUCUCCAAGCACAAGUCUCAGUCUCUAGCCUAGCCUUCCCAACGGUUUUUUGCUGAAUAAUAUACCCAAUAAUAAGAGAAUGUUAUUUCAGGAUCCCAAUCAUAGUAAUGUUUGGGCUAAUAAGUGGACCUUUUUUAUAUGCACAGGAGGUAUUUAAAUUUGG
rnacentral:lncRNA from 1 species